rnacentral:tRNA from 1 species
CCCUGGUUAGCUUAGUUGGUAGAGCGCUCCACUUGUAAUGGAGAGGUCGCGGGUUCGAUACAUGGACCAGGCG